rnacentral:SRP_RNA from 1 species
GCCGGGCGCAGUGCUGCAUGCUUGUAGUCCCAGGUACUCGGGAGGCUGAGGUGGGAGGACUACUUGGGUCCAGGAGUUCUGGGCUGUAGUGUACUAUGCUGAUCAGGUGUCCGCACUAAGUUUGGCAUCAAUAUGGUUACCUCCUGGGAUUGAGGAUUACCAAGUUGCCUAAAGAGGGGUGAACCAGCCAAGGUCAGAAACAGAGCUGGUCAAAAUUCCCGUGCUGAUCGGUAGUGGGAUCAUGACUGUGAAUAGCCACUGCACUCCAGCCUGGGCAACAUAGGGAGACAUCGUCUCU